AGACCAGGGGAGAAGCUCUCCUUAAAUGAGUUUACAGCUCACCGCCUAAAUCAGCCACCUGACC
rnacentral:tRNA from 1 species